rnacentral:rRNA from 1 species
CGCUGGCGGCGUGCCUAACACAUGCAAGUCGAGCGAGGAGAUCCUUCGGGAUGAUCCUAGCGGCGGACGGGUGAGUAACACGUGGGCAACCUGCCUCAUAGAGAGGAAUAGCCUUCCGAAAGGGAGAUUAAUACCUCAUAACAUUGCAGUUUCGCAUGAAACAGCAAUUAAAGGAGCAAUCCGCUAUGAGAUGGGCCCGCGGCGCAUUAGCUAGUUGGUGAGGUAACGGCUCACCAAGGCGACGAUGCGUAGCCGACCUGAGAGGGUGAUCGGCCACAUUGGGACUGAGACACGGCCCAGACUCCUACGGGAGGCAGCAGUGGGGAAUAUUGCACAAUGGGGGAAACCCUGAUGCCAGCAACGCCGCGUGAGUGAUGACGGCCUUCGGGUUGUAAAGCUCUGUCUUCAGGGACGAUAAUGACGGUACCUGAGGAGGAAGCCACGGCUAACUACGUGCCAGCCGCCGC